CAUCCUAGCGACUGCCUCUGAAGGGACUUCCACAGUUGCUGCAGGGAGGAGGGCAUAUCCUGGAGCAUGAGACUGGCUAUGGGGCUCUGUCUUAGCCUGGUUUCUUUCUGUACAAUGAUAUACCACAUAGAAAACUAGUAGGCUCACUGGUGCACACCCCUACUUCCAGCCAUUCAGGAGGCUGAGGCUGAGGCUGAGGAAGUGCUUGGGUCCAGGAGGUCUGGACUAUAGGAUGCUAUGCUGUGAGACAUCUCAUCUUGCCUAGGGAAGGAGCAAACCAGCAGGGUUCAUUACAGCCACGUUUGUGGACUCUGCUCUCUCAUCUCUCCCUCCCAGUUUGGCUUCCUACCUCUGUCUUCGCGGCUUCCAGCUCUUUAGGAUGUGUGAAGACUCAGACACCAUCAGCACUGAAGUAGACAUCGGUAGAUCCCGGUGCCUAGCUCAGCUUCAGGACAAGGCGAGAGAUGCGAUGUUUCCCUUGCCAUUGGAAAAGACAAUUCCAAAUUAGUCUCCUUGUCAAGCCCUUUACUCACUGACCUCUCCUCACAACAACAACAACAACAACAACAAAGGCAUUCAAUCAGAGAGCUGGGCUUCCAACCAAGCCUGUGAAGAAUCUUCCCCUUGCUUCCCCCUUUGCGUCUCUCAGAAACCUUUGGGCCACCACAGGAAGGACAUAAAAUGACUUCAUCUCACCAUUUCCAAAUGCCUCUCCUGAGU
rnacentral:lncRNA from 1 species